rnacentral:lncRNA from 10 species
CCCAAGAAGGGGCACGGCCACUCUUACACCACGGCUGAAGAGGCCGCUGGGAUCGGCAUCCUGACAGUGAUCCUGGGAGUCUUACUGCUCAUCGGCUGUUGGUAUUGUAGAAGACGAAAUGGAUACAGAGCCUUGAUGGAUAAAAGUCUUCAUGUUGGCACUCAAUGUGCCUUAACAAGAAGAUGCCCACAAGAAGGGUUUGAUCAUCGGGACAGCAAAGUGUCUCUUCAAGAGAAAAACUGUGAACCUGUGGUAGGUUAAGAUCCUUCAUAAGGGUAUUUUCAUGAAUGGCUGUUUUUAACUCAAGUGAAUACAAUUAUUUCCAUUUAAAAAGCAAGGACAAUGUGAAUGUACUCAUUGCCACUGAACUAUAUACACCUAAAAAUGGUUAAAAUGGCAACUUUUAUGUGUAUUUUAUGAGAAUAAAAAAUAAAUAAUAAUAAAAAAC